rnacentral:rRNA from 1 species
GGCUCUCUGUUUACAUAAAUAUAGGGAGUCGGGCCUGCCCAGUGAAUUUUUAAACGGCCGCGGUACUCUGACCGUGCAAAGGUAGCAUAAUCAUUUGCCUUAUAAUUGAAGGCUAGUAUGAAUGGUUUGACGAGAGCAACACUGUCUCCUUUUUAUUUUCAAGAACUUAACUUUUAGGUGAAGAGGCCUAAAUUUUAUUGAAGGACAAGAAGACCCUAUCGAGCUUAAAAGACAUUAUAGAAGUUUAUAUAUUUCUAAAUAAAUUUUCUAUUGAGCUUUUUAGUUGGGGCGACUAAGGAACAAAAAAAGCUUCUUGCUAAUAAUAGACAGUCAUGUUUAGAUCCGAUAAUAAUCGAUCAAAGAAAUUAGUUACCGUAGGGAUAACAGCAUAAUCUCUCUUGAGAGACCUAAUCGAAAGAGGGGGUUGUGACCUCGAUGUUGGACUAGAAUAUCCUAAAGAUGCAGAAGUCUUUGAAAGGUCGGUCUGUUCGACCGUUAAAAUUCU